GAGUGAAGAUGUGAAGAUUGAAGAAACAUUCACAGUCAAACAGGAAGAUCUGCAGGAACAAACAGGUGUAUCCAAAAAAUCCACUUAAUGGGAGGCUCGCCAGUCCAACUCCACAAUUAGACACGCACCGAUGGAAGUUGAGACAAUCCAAAUCCAGAAAAGAGUUCACACUUCAAUUAAUUUGAAUGCAGAGCAGAUCACAUUCAGCAACUGACUUCAAUAGAACAUCUCACCGAUGAAAAACCAGAAGAUGCACAAGCAAA